GUAAUGUCUGGGAAACUGCCUGAUGGAGGGGGAUAACUACUGGAAACGGUAGCUAAUACCGCAUAACGUCGCAAGACCAAAGAGGGGGACCUUCGGGCCUCUUGCCAUCAGAUGUGCCCAGAUGGGAUUAGCUAGUAGGUGGGGUAACGGCUCACCUAGGCGACGAUCCCUAGCUGGUCUGAGAGGAUGACCAGCCACACUGGAACUGAGACACGGUCCAGACUCCUACGGGAGGCAGCAGUGGGGAAUAUUGCACAAUGGGCGCAAGCCUGAUGCAGCCAUGCCGCGUGUAUGAAGAAGGCCUUCGGGUUGUAAAGUACUUUCAGCGGGGAGGAAGGUGUUGUGGUUAAUAACCACAGCAAUUGACGUUACCCGCAGAAGAAGCACCGGCUAACUCCGUGCCAGCAGCCGCGGUAAUACGGAGGGUGCAAGCGUUAAUCGGAAUUACUGGGCGUAAAGCGCACGCAGGCGGUCUGUCAAGUCGGAUGUGAAAUCCCCGGGCUCAACCUGGGAACUGCAUUCGAAACUGGCAGGCUAGAGUCUUGUAGAGGGGGGUAGAAUUCCAGGUGUAGCGGUGAAAUGCGUAGAGAUCUGGAGGAAUACCGG
rnacentral:rRNA from 1 species